UACGGGGGGAGCAAGCGUUGUUCGGAUUUACUGGGCGUAAAGCGUGCGCAGGCGGUUGUGCAAGACAGAGGUGAAAUCCCCGGGCUUAACCUGGGAAUGGCCUUUGUGACUGCACGGCUAGAGUGUGUCAGAGGGAGGUAGAAUUCCACGUGUAGCAGUGAAAUGCGUAGAUAUGUGGAGGAAUACCGAUGGCGAAGGCAGCCUCCUGGGAUAACACUGACGCUCAUGCACGAAAGCGUGGGGAGCAAACAGG
rnacentral:rRNA from 1 species